AGGCAGUGAUGUAAAAUUACCAUCAAACUAUGAAAGCUUAAUCGAGCUUGUUGAUGCCAACUAUUUUCGAUGAGCCU
rfam:Cajanus cajan Scaffold000396_15, whole genome shotgun sequence.